rnacentral:rRNA from 2 species
UAGAGUUUGAUCCUGGCUCAGAUUGAACGCUGGCGGCAGGCUUAACACAUGCAAGUCGAGCGGAGAGAGGUAGCUUGCUACUGAUCUUAGCGGCGGACGGGUGAGUAAUGCUUAGGAAUCUGCCUAUUAGUGGGGGACAACAUUUCGAAAGGAAUGCUAAUACCGCAUACGUCCUACGGGAGAAAGCAGGGGAUCUUCGGACCUUGCGCUAAUAGAUGAGCCUAAGUCGGAUUAGCUAGUUGGUGGGGUAAAGGCCUACCAAGGCGACGAUCUGUAGCGGGUCUGAGAGGAUGAUCCGCCACACUGGGACUGAGACACGGCCCAGACUCCUACGGGAGGCAGCAGUGGGGAAUAUUGGACAAUGGGCGCAAGCCUGAUCCAGCCAUGCCGCGUGUGUGAAGAAGGCCUUAUGGUUGUAAAGCACUUUAAGCGAGGAGGAGGCUACUUUAGUUAAUACCUAGAGAUAGUGGACGUUACUCGCAGAAUAAGCACCGGCUAACUCUGUGCCAGCAGCCGCGGUAAUACAGAGGGUGCAAGCGUUAAUCGGAUUUACUGGGCGUAAAGCGCGCGUAGGCGGCUAAUUAAGUCAAAUGUGAAAUCCCCGAGCUUAACUUGGGAAUUGCAUUCGAUACUGGUUAGCUAGAGUGUGGGAGAGGAUGGUAGAAUUCCAGGUGUAGCGGUGAAAUGCGUAGAGAUCUGGAGGAAUACCGAUGGCGAAGGCAGCCAUCUGGCCUAACACUGACGCUGAGGUGCGAAAGCAUGGGGAGCAAACAGGAUUAGAUACCCUGGUAGUCCAUGCCGUAAACGAUGUCUACUAGCCGUUGGGGCCUUUGAGGCUUUAGUGGCGCAGCUAACGCGAUAAGUAGACCGCCUGGGGAGUACGGUCGCAAGACUAAAACUCAAAUGAAUUGACGGGGGCCCGCACAAGCGGUGGAACCAUGUGGUUUAAUUCGAUGCAACGCGAAGAACCUUACCUGGCCUUGACAUAGUAAGAACUUUCCAGAGAUGGAUUGGUGCCUUCGGGAACUUACAUACAGGUGCUGCAUGGCUGUCGUCAGCUCGUGUCGUGAGAUGUUGGGUUAAGUCCCGCAACGAGCGCAACCCUUUUCCUUAUUUGCCAGCGAGUAAUGUCGGGAACUUUAAGGAUACUGCCAGUGACAAACUGGAGGAAGGCGGGGACGACGUCAAGUCAUCAUGGCCCUUACGGCCAGGGCUACACACGUGCUACAAUGGUCGGUACAAAGGGUUGCUACCUAGCGAUAGGAUGCUAAUCUCAAAAAGCCGAUCGUAGUCCGGAUUGGAGUCUGCAACUCGACUCCAUGAAGUCGGAAUCGCUAGUAAUCGCGGAUCAGAAUGCCGCGGUGAAUACGUUCCCGGGCCUUGUACACACCGCCCGUCACACCAUGGGAGUUUGUUGCACCAGAAGUAGCUAGCCUAACUGCAAAGAGGGCGGUUACCACGGUGUGGCCGAUGACUGGGGUGAAGUCGUAACAAGGUAGCCGUAGGGGAACCUGNGGAUGGAUCACCUCCUUA